ensembl:lncRNA
CAGUGAUUGAGUGGAGAGAGGAGGCUUUCAACGAACGAUAUAUCAUGAAGAGAUAUGUGAAAAACACCUUGAGGAUUGAUUCUAAACAACGUUUACCAUGUUUCAGUCGAUAUUAUGGAGUUAAUUUGGAAAAAUUUCGGCGUUUUGAAGACUGAAUUUUCGUUUUUUUUUGGUAGCCAAACCUGACGCACCAAACGGAGCAAUUUCUCCUAAACAAAUAAUCUUUCAGGAAAAACUGAGCAUUUGCCAACUAACUGAGAGUCUCCUCAUUGAAAACAUCUGAAGUUCUUCAAAGGACCUGAGCCCUAGGACCAUGACCCAGGACUACCUGACAUGAUGACUCCUUGCUGUCCCCAGUCCACCUGGCCGUGCUGCUGCUCCAGUUUCAACUGUUCUGCC